CUGGACCCAUGCCGAACUCAGAAGUGAAACGCCGUAGCGCCGAUGGUAGUGUGGGGUCUCCCCAUGCGAGAGUAGGGAACUGCCAGGC
rnacentral:rRNA from 1 species